ensembl:processed_transcript
ACCAUCUCUACUGUGGGAAUCACGGGGAAGCUGCUGCAGCACAACUUGCAAUAGAAAGCUUGAUGGUAUGAAUUUAGGACAAGAACAUGAGAAGAAGGGCUCCAGAGAGGAUUCAUUAAGAGCAUUUUCUGCUCUUCCAGAAGCAUCUGAGUUUGGUGUGGGCACCCAAGUCAUUAGGCUCAGAGCUGCUUGGUCUGGAUCCCCUAGGUUUGCCACCAGGAUCACCAGAAAGUUUGUUAAAUAGAGAAGCACUUGAUAGAAGGCACCCGGAUAAGGAUGGGCAGAAAUCAGGCCUUGGCUAUCUGGAUUCUGACUUCUUCAAAAAGAUGAGAUACACGAUAGAUGAGAAAAGCCCGUCCAUGGUGUUAAGAGACUUUGGCCCCACACCCAUGCCGUGCAGCUCUGCCAGGGCCUACCUGCUUGACUCAACCCUCUUUGUUCCCUCACCCUCUCUGGGUAACUGAGAGAUUUAUACCUUGGAUAUCCUGGGAAUGUCUUUCUAAACUAAUAAAAUUGUUCUUGAGUUUC